CGGAGUUCAGAGCGGGAAGAAGUAUUCUUCGGACAUUUUUUUCACGUUCAGAAUUCGUUAGUUUUAUCUUCUUUGUUAUACAGUUUCACCAAUGGACGAACGAGGCAUGAUUGGAUUGUGUGAGUGAAGAGAUAGUAUUCAGAACCACAUUUUGAUUGCGGAAUCUCUUCAUUCAAGGUGUACUUUAGUAUCGGUGUAUAAUUAACGUAUGCUAUUUAUAGUGAACUUAUUAAAUAUUUUAAAAUA